UACGUAAGUGGCAAGCGUUGUCCGGAAUUAUUGGGCGUAAAGCGCGCGCAGGUGGUUCUUUAAGUCUGAUGUGAAAGCCCACGGCUCAACCGUGGAGGGUCAUUGGGAACUGGCAGACUUGAGUGCAGAAGAGGAGAGUGGAAUUCCAUGUGUAGCGGUGAAAUGCGCAGAGAUAUGGAGGAACACCAGUGGCGAAGGCGGCUCUCUGGUCUGCAACUGACGCUGAGGUGCGAAAGCGUGGGGAGAGAACAGG
rnacentral:misc_RNA from 1 species